UUGAAAUGUGUGCCCUUGACUAUAUUUGUUAGAAUAUGUUGAGAUGUGUUACUGAUUUCUUAUACCUAAACUGAUUGAUGUAUGAUAACCACAUUAGGAUUGGUCGAUUGAGUUGGAUCAUACGUAACUAAUCUUACCGAGCAAACCUAAGGUUAUUAACGUUUGGAACAUGGACUUGCUAUCUGGGAGUGCUGGAGUGGUCAUGGAUCGAGACUCUUGGGUGACUUAUAAACGUUACAUUGAUUGUGAAUGUUUUCAUGAAACUAUUACUAAACGAAUUAAUACAUGCUUCCGCUACACAACUUUUGAGAAUUGAUAUCAUGUAGACAUCUUGUUGGAUAAUUAAUGUCAUGGCUUAUCUAAAUAU